UGGGGAAUCUUGCCCAAUGGGCGAAAGCCUGAGGCAGCGACGCCGCGUGAGGGAAGAAGGCCUUCGGGUUGUAAACCUCUUUCAGGAGGGACGAAGCUACUCGGGUUAAUAGCCCAGAGGGUGACGGUACCUCCAGAAGAAGCCCCGGCUAACUACGUGCCAGCAGCCGCGGUAAUACGUAGGGGGCAAGCGUUGUCCGGAUUUACUGGGCGUAAAGAGCGUGUAGGCGGCCAGACAGGUCUGUUGUGAAAACUGGAGGCUCAACCUCCAGACGUCGACAGAAACCGUCUGGCUAGAGUCCGGAAGAGGAGAGUGGAAUUCCUGGUGUAGCGGUGAAAUGCGCAGAUAUCAGGAAGAACACCGAUGGCGAAGGCAGCUCUCUGGGACGGUACUGACGCUGAGACGCGAAAGCGUGGGGAGCGAACAGG
rnacentral:rRNA from 1 species